rnacentral:rRNA from 1 species
CCUGAUGCAGCAACGCCGCGUGCGGGAUGACGGCCUUCGGGUUGUAAACCGCUUUUAGUAGGGAAGAAGGGCUUCGGCUUGACGGUACCUGCAGAAAAAGGACCGGCUAACUACGUGCCAGCAGCCGCGGUAAUACGUAGGGUCCGAGCGUUGUCCGGAAUUAUUGGGCGUAAAGAGCUCGUAGGCGGUUUGUCGCGUCUGCUGUGAAAUCUGGAGGCUCAACCUCCAGCCUGCAGUGGGUACGGGCAGACUAGAGUGCGGUAGGGGAGAAUGGAAUUCCUGGUGUAGCGGUGGAAUGCGCAGAUAUCAGGAGGAACACCGAUGGCGAAGGCAGUUCUCUGGGCCGUAACUGACGCUGAGGAGCGAAAGCGUGGGGAGCGAACAGGAUUAGAUACCCUGGUAGUCCACGCCGUAAACGUUGGGCGCUAGAUGUGGGGACCUUUCCACGGUUUCCGUGUCGUAGCUAACGCAUUAAGCGCCCCGCCUGGGGAGUACGGCCGCAAGGCUAAAACUCAAAGGAAUUGACGGGGGCCCGCACAAGCGGCGGAGCAUGCGGAUUAAUUCGAUGCAACGCGAAGAACCUUACCAAGGCUUGACAUAACCGAGAACGCCCUAGAAAUAGGGAACUCUUU